AGCGAACGCUGGCGGCAGGCCUAACACAUGCAAGUCGAACGGAUCCUUCGGGAUUAGUGGCGGACGGGUGAGUACACGUGGGAACGUGCCCUUUGGUUCGGACCAACUCAGGGAAACUUGAGCUAAUACCGGAUGUGCCCUUCGGGGGAAAGAUUUAUCGCCAUUGGAGCGGCCCGCGUCUGUUUAGCUAGUUGGUGAGGUAAAGGCUCACCAAGGCGACGAUCAGUAGCUGGUCUGAGAGGAUGAUCAGCCACAUUGGGACUGAGACACGGCCCAAACUCCUACGGGAGGCAGCAGUGGGGAAUCUUGCGCAAUGGGCGAAAGCCUGACGCAGCCAUGCCGCGUGAAUGAUGAAGGUCUUAGGAUUGUAAAAUUCUUUCACCGGGGACGAUAAUGACGGUACCCGGAGAAGAAGCCCCGGCUAACUUCGUGCCAGCCGCCGCAGUAACAC
rnacentral:rRNA from 1 species